GACUCCGUUAACCAGCCACUCUGUCAGUAAGCGUGCUCGCCUUUUGUUUGUUUUCCCUCAAUAAACCCCCGUUGAACUGUACCUCUGCCUUGCGUCCUGCGUUUGGGUCCUCCAACCUGCUUAAUCCACACCCACCAUAACAAAAGUGAGCCUGCUUUGGGAACAAGGAGCAAACUGCCCUCUUUAUUAAAUUGAGGCCAACGGGGCUUGGAGGACAAUUUCGGAGAAAAUGGGCCUGUGGGGGAAGGUGACUUCCCUCCAAGCAAAAAAGUGGGACAAUUAAAAGUGAUUGCAAGUGUUCAGGUGGGAAGCCCGCUGCUGCAACUUGGCCCUGGGAGACCCUGGUGAUGCUGCUGGACCUGGAUGGGCUGCCACAAUAAAGACCCUGGUCAGCAGGACAUCAUCUGGGGUGGUCUCCAGAGUGUGUUGCAGGUGUGGAUGCAUCUCUCCGCUGUCCACCGUAUCGUCCAUCAAUCGAUGGCUGCCAUGUCACUAAGAUGUUUGAGUAAGAGGCAAGAAUAAUAGGCAGUGCACACAAUACGAAUUCACAAUCUUCUUAUUUUGACAAAAUUUAUCUCUACAAAAUAUUUAAACAGGCAAAAUUGUUAGGAUAUGAACAUGUUCUCCCCUCAUCCUCUGCCACAUCCUCCUCAGGCUCAUCCUCUGGGGCCACAAUGUCACCAGCCCCAAGGCAGAUGUUGUGGAGGAUGGCACAUGCUGUUAUGACCUGAAAUGGUUAAAUAUAUUUCAGUCUGAAAACAAUGAAUCAGUCUAUUGAUUUACUUAGUAUAAUUUAAAAAAAUUCUCACGUGAGGUGCAAAGGUGUGGUGCACCUCCAGCGCUUGCAGGAAUCUGGUCUUCAUCAUCCCAAAAGAAUGCUCUAUAAUGGAGCAAGCUAAAUGUUGAUCUGGGAAAGUAUAAUAAAUAUCUAUCUAAAUAUAAAUAUUAACUUCCAUUAAUACUACAUAAACAUUUUUAAACUUAAACUCAGAUCUUGAUACGCAUUUUUCCACACCAGUGAAAGCUGGAUAUUAAAGGCACGCAGUAUCAAUAGUCCCAUUGCAUGUUGGCAUAUUAAGCAGGCACAAAUAGAAAACCAAGACAAUAACACAACCAGCAUGAUUGGUGCAUCUGUUUAUUGAGGAUGUCCACAAAUGUUGCAUAUAAAAUGAAUAAAACAAAAUACCAAAAUAUAACAAAUAAAAAACACAGAACAAUAAAAAAUGCAGGUAGGGAUCUAAAACUCUGCAUUAAUAAAAUGCUUAAUUUUAAAGAUUAUAUGAUUAUUUAGAUUAACAACGUUAAACAGCUGAAAUUAACAACUUUUAUUUAAAAAAAAUAAAAUAAUUGUACUUAUUUGUCCCAUAACAAAGGUUACGAUAUGGUAACCCUAGUUCUAUAAGCACAGGCGGUGCCCUCGACUGGA